rnacentral:tRNA from 2 species
GCGGGGGUACCCGAGCCAGGUCUAAGGGGUGAGGCUCAGGCCCUCAUGGCGUAGGCCUUCGUGGGUUCAAAUCCCACCCCCCGCACCA